rnacentral:rRNA from 1 species
CAUCUAGCAUGUGCGCAAGUCAUUGGGUAUUUAUAAUAAACCUAAAGGCGUAAUGAAAGUAAAUAUAUAUAUAAUUUUUAUAAUUAUAUUUUAUAAAGGGAAGAUGGGUAACGUUAUUUAUGUUACCUCGCAUUCCCGGGGCGUCGCAUACUUAUUGCAAGUUGCGGCGCACCAAGAGCAUACACGCUGGGACCCGAAAGAUGGUGAACUAUGCCUGGUCAGGAUGAAGUCAGGGGAAACCCUGAUGGAGGUCCGUAGCGAUUCUGACGUGCAAAUCGAUCGUAUGAACUGGGUAUAGGGGCGAAAGACUAAUCGAACCAUC